rnacentral:rRNA from 1 species
UACGAAGGGGGCUAGCGUUGUUCGGAAUUACUGGGCGUAAAGGGCGCGUAGGCGGUUUGUCAAGUCAGGCGUGAAAGCCCCGGGCUCAACCUGGGAACUGCGCUUGAGACUGGCAGGCUCGAGUUCGGGAGAGGAUGGUGGAAUUCCCAGUGUAGAGGUGAAAUUCGUAGAUAUUGGGAAGAACACCGAUGGCGAAGGCAGCCAUCUGGACCGACACUGACGCUGAGGCGCGAAAGCGUGGGGAGCAAACAGG